UACCUGGUCUUGACAUCCACAGAACUUGGCAGAGAUGCCUUGGUGCCUUCGGGAACUGUGAGACAGGUGCUGCAUGGCUGUCGUCAGCUCGUGUUGUGAAAUGUUGGGUUAAGUCCCGCAACGAGCGCAACCCUUAUCCUUUGUUGCCAGCGGUCCGGCCGGGAACUCAAAGGAGACUGCCAGUGAUAAACUGGAGGAAGGUGGGGAUGACGUCAAGUCAUCAUGGCCCUUACGACCAGGGCUACACACGUGCUACAAUGGCAUAUUCAAAGAGAAGCGACCUCGCGAGAGCAAGCGGACCUCAUAAAGCCCUCCUAGUCCGGAUUGGAGUCUGCAACUCGACUCCAUGAAGUCGGAAUCGCUAGUAAUCGUGGAUCAGAAU
rnacentral:rRNA from 1 species